UUGGAAAUAGUGUACGAAAGAUCAUCCCACCAAGACGAUUUAGAGAAUUCCAGCCCAGCAAGCCCAGAAGGGCACAACAGACACAACACUUUCAAGAGGACAGUGAAUCAUCUCAAGAUGAGAUUUCCAGUUUGA